GGGACUUUAGCAUAAUGGCAAUGCAAAGGUUUUUUAAUCCUAUUUAUGUGGGUUCGAAUCCUACAGGUCUCA
rnacentral:tRNA from 1 species